GGAGGAAUGGAGUGCUGUGGUGGUAGGAAUAACAUCUACAAUUGAAUGCUUCUUGUCAUGGAAAUUUCUGGUUGUUUGCUUCAUGUUAUUUUUGAAGAUGUGGCUAACUCUGAAUAGACAGUGCAGCCAAUCACAUCCAGGACUGUGCAUCUCGUCCUCCCAAGUUUACCUUGCCAAUUUUGUGAGCCAGUUGCAAAAGAGGAUGCAUCACCACAGUGCAGCAUUUUAUCAUUCACAAAGAGUUUCCUCUGCACUGUAUCUGCUUCUUUCCUGGAGUGACGGGGCUGAGUGGGACAUUGUAUAAUUCCUCCUCUUUGUGUCUCACCACCACUGUUUCUUAGAAUUAAGGAAAAAACAAACAAACAACCAAGCAUCCAAGUGAUAAAUUUUGUAUCAAGAUCUGUGGAACACAGAGAAACUCCGCUCCAGCUGGGAAAACAGAGUCAUUGCCAAGACUAAGAGAAAUGAGGUGACUUUACCCAUAAAUCCCAA
rnacentral:lncRNA from 1 species